rnacentral:rRNA from 1 species
UUCGGGCGCCGGCGAGUGGCGAACGGGUGAGUAACACGUGGAGACCUAUCCUUUGGUGGGGGACAACAGCUGGAAACGGCUGCUAAUACCGCAUACGCCCUACGGGGGAAAGAUUUAUUGCCGAAGGAGGGUUCCGCGUCGGAUUAGCUAGUUGGUGGGGUAACGGCCUACCAAGGCGACGAUCCGUAGCUGGUCUUAGAGGAUGAUCAGCCACACUGGGACUGAGACACGGCCCAGACUCCUACGGGAGGCAGCAGUGGGGAAUAUUGCGCAAUGGGGGAAACCCUGACGCAGCGAUGCCGCGUGGGUGAAGAAGGCCUUAGGGUUGUAAAGCCCUUUCAGUGGGAACGAUAGUGACGGUACCCACAGGAGAAGCCCCGGCUAACUCCGUGCCAGCAGCCGCGGUAAUACGGAGGGGGCGAGCGUUGUUCGGAAUUAUUGGGCGUAAAGCGCGCGUAGGCGGUUUAUCAAG